rnacentral:lncRNA from 1 species
UAGAUAAAUGAUAAUUCAUUGUUAGGUCUUUAAUUUAUUUUUAGCUGAAGUAACCAUGUGGCUUCUUUAGUGGAUACCCUUGAACGUAUGGUGGCUUUGAUUUCUCUAUUCCACAAAGAGGGGAUUCAGAAAUUCGUGACAGCAAAAACAAUAUCCCACAUAAGGUGGCAUCAGGUACUCUGUCUCUCAGAGGCCACUUGUGGGGCAGGGGGAUGGAGUGAAAUCCUCCAUUCAGGGCCUGGAGUGGUCACCCACAAGCUUGUGGCUUACAGGUCAAGUCACCCUGAGCCAUAGUUACCUCGUCAGUAAUACAUGGGAUUGGCUCUAUGACUUCCAGCUCUCUCAGGUCUGUACCUCUGCAGCUCCAUCUGAAUGACGAAGUCUAUUGUUGGCUGCUGGAUGGAGAGUAGAAAGUCACUGCUCAUGUCUUACUUGUCCUGUUUUGGAAGGACUCCAGAUUUGUAAAAACCUCUUCCAGUCUCCUGCUUGGUUCUUCUGUUCCUCUCUCACACUCUUUGUCCCCUCUACUGACAGCCUCCUUGAGAGUGGUACCUCCUUACUUCUCCAUUCCUCACUUCCAUUUAUUCCCAAACAAUUGUGUUG